AAAGCAGGUCUGCAAUUGCAGCACUUCCUUUCUGUGGAGUGCUGUCAUUAAGCCUGCUGAGAGCAUCUGUCUGCUACAGAGCUUUCACUCCUCCUCUGUUUGUGAUGAGGACGCUGUGUAGCUGGAACAUAU